UACGGGGGGGGCAAGCGUUGUUCGGAAUUACUGGGCGUAAAGGGCUCGUAGGCGGCCAACUAAGUCAGACGUGAAAUCCCUCGGCUUAACCGGGGAACUGCGUCUGAUACUGGAUGGCUUGAGAUUGGGAGAGGGAUGCGGAAUUCCAGGUGUAGCGGUGAAAUGCGUAGAUAUCUGGAGGAACACCGGUGGCGAAGGCUCCAUCCUGGACCAACACUGACGCUGAGGAGCGAAAGCCAGGGGAGCAAACGGG
rnacentral:rRNA from 1 species